UACGUAGGGGACGAGCGUUGUCCGGAAUUACUGGGCGUAAAGGGCGCGCAGGCUGUAGAUCAAGUCAGCUGUGAAAUGUCUGGGCUUAACCCGGGCAUGCGGUUGAAACUGAUGUGCUGGAGUGCUGUAGAGGCAAGUGGAAUUCCCAGUGUAGCGGUGAAAUGCGUAGAUAUUGGGAAGAACACCGGUGGCGAAGGCGACUUGCUGGGCAGCAACUGACGCUGAGGCGCGAAAGCCAGGGGAGCAAACGGGAUUAGA
rnacentral:rRNA from 1 species